rnacentral:rRNA from 1 species
CAGUCGUACCUUCGGGUAAUCAGCCUUUCGAGUGCGAUUCUGUGGAGUGUGAGGAGCUAAACACCUUCAUGCCUGCAUAUUCGUGCUCUUGGGUGUACUUGCUCGUGUGGUAGGUUAACAUCAAUUUUGGUCGUCAUAAAAUGACUGGAGGAAUGUAGCUUUGGUCUCGUAUCGAAGUGUUAUAGACUCUGGUAGAU